GGACCCGAAUGGAGUGAAAUAUUUAAUAUGUACAUACCAUUUCUCGAUUGAGAGAUCUAUUUACUGAUGGCUGGUUUUUAAAGAUGUCUUAUAAAGUUGUGAAAUUCUACGAGAAAAGGCUUGUGAGUGGAAUUAAUGAGUACGGUGCUUGUGAAGUUUCCUCCAUAGCUCUUUUGCAAUCAAUCAUUCGUCUGUUAUUAUGGUUGUUCCAUUGUAUGCAUGCACAUUGGAAGGCAGAAAGUAAUGUUGGCUGGUCGCCAGAGAAGUAAAAAGGCCAACAUCUUGACCUGUAUGGAGCAUGGUUGUUUUCUUGAAGUUUUUGAUGCAUUGUAUACCAUUGACUAAGAGGAAUCGUUCAUUCAUGAGAAUGGGACAAGAGCAUUGCUAGAUGGAAUUCGGCUGAGUGUAAGUACACAUGAGAGGUGUGUUUUCAUUGAUAGAGGAAGGGUGAGAGCAUGACACUUGUACAGGAAAAAGAAAGAAAUGGAAACCAAAAUUUAAAAGUAAAGAGAAGAAUGCUAUGAUCUCAUGAUAAGAUGUCGGUCACCAGCGAGCACCCACAUGAGCAAACCUAUAAUAGGUCCUAAGACACAUAAUAUGUGAUUAAGGGGCAUAAUUGGAUUAUGAGUUUGGACCA